ACGCUGGCGGCAUGCCUAACACAUGCAAGUCGAACGCCCUCUUCGGAGGGAGUGGCGCACGGGUGCGUAACGCGUGGGAACCUGCCCUUAGGUUCGGAAUAACUCAGAGAAAUUUGAGCUAAUACCGGAUAAUGUCUUCGGACCAAAGAUUUAUCGCCCUGAGAUAAGCCCGCGUAGGAUUAGCUAGUUGGUGGGGUAAAGGCUCACCAAGGCGACGAUCCUUAGCUGGUCUGAGAGGAUGAUCAGCCACACUGGGACUGAGACACGGCCCAGACUCCUACGGGAGGCAGCAGUGGGGAAUAUUGGACAAUGGGCGAAAGCCUGAUCCAGCAAUGCCGCGUGAGUGAUGAAGGCCUUCGGGUUGUAAAGCUCUUUUACCCGAGAUGAUAAUGACAGUAUCGGGAGAAUAAGCUCCGGCUAACUCCGUG
rnacentral:rRNA from 1 species